UGCGCCCCCAGCCCCUCUCCCGGCCGCCGCAAACCGCAGGGCGCGGGUCCCUGCUCGGCUACCUGCGCCGUGGGGACACCCACAGCCGGGCGCCAGCACGCAUCUCAGCCCGUGGAAUUAGGAAAGGUGGGCGGCCACCCACCGAAAACGCACCGCCCUGGAGCCCCUGCCCGGGUUGGAGGAGAAGCCGCCCCCGCCCAGCUCGGCGGCCCCCCAGGUGUGAGGCACAGCAGUGAGACAAUGACGGGGGCUGGGCUGGAGAGGACCGUCACAAUCCCGUGGGGGCGCCCGAGGGGGCGGACACGACGGGGGCGCAUCCUCGUGCGGCGUCGGCACACACGUCACCCUUAGAUGGUCCAUUUCCGGGGACGGUAGAGGGCACAGGCGUUGGGCCCCCCCCCGAAGGCACGGAGUUCCGAUCCUGGCCCGAAUGGGAUCGCGCUCCGCGAGCAGCGAGUGAGUGAAACACACCCUCGGUUCCGUCCUAAAGAAAGUCCGAAAGAGCACAGACCUGGAUACAAGCACCUGCCCCCGGGCACCGGGCAGGGCGCACAGAGGGGACUGGUUGUGACGCGGAGGGUGUGGCCCAACCCCACGGCGCGAGGGAGCGCAGCCAGCCUCCCCAGCUUCCCUUCGGGAUAUCGGCCACCUGCCUCUCCUGUCCCGACGAGGCUCUGGGAGGGUCUCCACCGAGCCCUGCUCUGCAACCACAGACUUCUGCUUUCUCUCAGCCCCCAUUUGCUGCCUCCCCCCUGAUGGCUCAUCCCCAUUUCCUCCCCCUCCCCGACUCACCUCUGCAACGGGCGCCCUGCCCUGCGACCAGUGCUCUGCGGGGCUGCUCCUGGCGCGUCCCUCCAGCAGACUGUCACUUGAAGGUGACAAGAAGGUGACAGCAGCAGAGCCAGCUCGAGCGCAAUCGCUCCGCACACUGACCCUCAGGAUCAGGAUGCGGGAAAUGGUGUAGACAGACAGUGAUAGACGGACGUUCCCGCCGGGGAAGCCACUCUUCCACUUCUCCCAUCUCCUGGGGUCCGUCUUUUGUAAGCCACGUGGAGGCCGGCUGUUUGCUGAGGUGACUGGAGGGCACCCGGCAACGCUACACCUUGCGUUCCGUUUCAAGCCGCCACACCUUUGUCCUGCUCUGGAAAAUUGGCGCGUGGAUCGCCAUGCGUUCAGGGCUGACCUACAGGAACAGCGGCACGUUUGUUCUCAUUAUUAACAGCCCUCACGUCGGUCCGCUGCCUUACAGAUGAUCAGAGAUUCCACGUAUUUCGUCCAUUUGUUAACUGAUGUGCUUCGCUGCCAAGCCAUGACUCGAGAAGGGGCUGACCCUGCAUGGGAUUGUUGGGGGAUUAGAGGCAUGUCCUAAACCACCACUGUGCCGUGGUUGCUGGAAGCACAUCCCUGAGCCUUCCGGGGGAUCGAUCCCUUUGCAACAGUAGCUCCCACUGAGUGAGAUGGUUGGGGAGUGGGCGUCUUUGGUUAAACGGGCAUUUUGGGUAAUUGCGAGCUCUUACGUCUACCAUUCAUGGAGUAUGCGCUUCCAAAGAAUUAAAACACAGACGGUGCUUCCGGGGCUAUAUCCUUGUGAACACAGAGGCAAAAAUCCUCAACAAGAGAUUAGCAAACCAGAUUCAGCAGUCAACACGACCACUCACUGCAGCCGAGCGGGGUUUAUUCCAGGGAUGCAAGGAUGGCUCGACAGCCACGCAGCCACCAACGGGAUUCACCGCGUUGACCAGGUGAAGGAUAAAAAUCACGAGAACACCCGCAGAUGCAGAAAAAGCAUCUGAUAAAAUUCAACAUCCAUUUGUGAAAGAAGUCUCAAGGAAGCAGGUAUGGAGGGAACAUAUCUCCCCCUAAUAAAGGCCGUAUAUGACACCCCGCAGCUAGCAUCAUCUUCGACGGUGAGAAGCUGAAAGCUGUCCUCUAGGAUCGGAAACAAGGCCAAGAUGCCCAGACUCACCACUUCUAGUCAACUGGAGGUCCUUCUGGAACCAUUGGGCAAGAAAGAGAAGGGCACUGAAAUGGAAAGGCAGGGUAAGACUGUCGCUAUUUGCAGAUGCCGUGAUGCCCUAUGGAGAGGACUCUGAAGGCCCUUUAGAAAAACCCAUGAGAGGGGCGCCUGGGCGGCUCGGUCGGUUGAACGUCCGACUUCGGCUCAGGUCACGAUCUCACGGUUCGUGGGUUCGAGCCCUGCGUCGGGCUCUGUGCCGACCGCUCGGAGCCCGGAGCCUGCUUCGGAUUCUCUGUCUCCCUCUCUCUCAGCUCCUCCCCCACUUGCGUUCUUGCUCUCUCUCUCUCAGAAAUAAACAUUAAAUUUUUUUUGAAAUCAGUAUCUUGAGGAGAGAUCCACACUGCCACGUUCACUGCAACAUUAUUCACAGCAGCCGAGAUAUGGAAACGAUCUCGGCGUCCGCUGAUGGAGGAGGAUAUAUAUAGGGCAAUCUAUUAGCCAUAUAAAGAAUGGAAUCUUGCCAUUUGCAACAUGGAGACACCUGGAGGGCAUUAUGCUCAGUGAAAUACAUCAGAGAAACAAAUACAGUGUGAUCUCUCCCACACAUGGAAUCAAAACCGUCCCACAAAAACCAAGCUCACAGAUACAGAGAACAGAUUGGCGGUUGUAAGAGGCAGGGGGUGGGGGUUAGAGAAACGGACAAACUGUGUGUUUUGUGUUUCUGUGUUAGUUUAAAUAGCUUGAAUUUGAGUUUAUUUAGUUUAAAUAAUUUGAGUAGAAAUUUAAAAAAUG